rnacentral:rRNA from 1 species
GUCUACAAUCAUGCCACCCUGAGCAAGCCUGAUCUCGUCUGAUCUCGGAAGCUAAGCAGGGUCGGGCCUGGUUAGUACUUGAAUGGGAGACCACCUAGGAAGACCAGGUGCUGUAGGCA